rnacentral:rRNA from 1 species
CCUUGACGCAUGUGGAAAGCAUAAGCCGGGAAUGGAAAGACCGGUACAAGCGAGGUAGGUGUGUGACAGGCAAAUCCGUCACAUAAGCCGAAGACGUGAUGUGGAGCGAAAUUAAGUAGUGAAGUAUGUGAGCCAUGUGCCGAGAAAAGCCGCUAUUGUUUUAUAUGUGCCCGUACCGUAAACCGACACAGGUGGAUGAGGAGAGAAUCCUAAGGCCGACGGAAGAAGCAUUGUUAAGGAAUUCGGCAAAAUGACCCCGUAACUUCGGGAGAAGGGGUGCCCACUGAAUGGUGGGCCGCAGAGAAUAGGCUCAAGCAACUGUUUAGCAAAAACACAGGUCUAUGCGAAACCGAAAGGUGAAGUAUAUGGGCUGACGCCUGCCCGGUGCUGGAAGGUUAAGAGGAGAGGUUAGCGCAAGCGAAGCUUUGAAUUUAAGCCCCAGUAAACGGCGGCCGUAACUAUAACGGUCCUAAGGUAGCGAAAUUCCUUGUCGGGUAAGUUCCGACCCGCACGAAAGGCGUAAUGAUUUGAGCACUGUCUCGACAAUGCAUCCGGUGAAAUUGAAGUACCAGUGAAGAUGCUGGUUACCCGCGCCAGGACGGAAAGACCCCAUGGAGCUUUACUCCAGUUUGAUACUGGGAUUCGGUACUGCACGUACAGGAUAGGUGGGAGACUGAGAACUAUGGACGCCAGUCUGUAGGGAGUCGCUGUUGGGAUACCACCCCUGUAGUACUGGGUUUCUAACCAUCUGCCGUGAUCCGGCAGUGGGACAAUGUCAGGCGGGGAGUUUGACUGGGGCGGUCGCCUCCGAAAGGGUAUCGGAGGCGCUCAAAGGUUCCCUCAGAAUGGUCGGAAACCAUUUGAAGAGUGCAAAGGCAGAAGGGAGCUUGACUGCGACACCGACGGGUGGAGCAGGUACGAAAGUAGGACUUAGUGAUCCGGUGGUAUAAAGUGGGAUUGCCAUCGCUCAACGGAUAAAAGCUACCCUGGGAUAACAGGCCUAUCACUCCCAAGAGUUCACAUCGACGGAGUGGUUUGGCACCUCGAUGUCGGCUCAUCGCAUCCUGGGGCUGUAGCAGGUCCCAAGGGUCGGGCUGUUCGCCCAUUAAAGCGGUACGCGAGCUGGGUUCAGAACGUCGUGAGACAGUUCGGUCCCUAUCCGGCGCGGGCGGAGGAUAUUUGAGAGGAGCUGUCCUUAGUACGAGAGGACCGGGAUGGACGGACCACUGGUGUAUCUGUUGUCGACCAACGGCAUGGCAGAGUAGCCAAGUCUGGAAGGGAUAAACGCUGAAGGCAUCUAAGCGUGAAGCCCCCCUCAAGAUGAGAUAUCCCUCCUUCGGGAGUAAGACCCCUUGAAGACUACAAGGUAGAUAGGGCAGAGGUGGAAGUGUGGCAACACAUGGAGCUGACUGUUACUAAUAGGUCGAGGGCUUGAUU